AUGAUGAUCUAAUAAUUCUAGUCACUUGGCAGGGUAAAAAAUUGAAGAAAAGAGUGAAUAAAACCAUAGAGAUAGAUUGUGCUGUAUAUAUAAUUCCUUCUACACCAACUAUACAGAUGCCUGGCUAGCUGACCCGGCCUGGUGCACGGGAGGUCACCAGGCCACGUAUGGGACAAGUAUACAUACACACAGGUCAUAAAUAUACAGAAAGGUCAGGUCAGUUGGGCACUAGCAUACCUUACAAGGAGAAGGUUGGAGCUACUGCGAGAAAUGAUAACACACAAAUUAAUGUUAAGUUCUCACUAGACAUCUUUCUCAGUAUGUAUAUUCAAAGUAUUCACAUUUCCAUGGUUUUUCUUUUGGUGAUGAAUAAAAUCUUGUAUGGUUUAAACUUUUGGUGCUUGAGUCUUAAAUAUAUAAAAAGAUUCUCCUAAAGACAGAAAAAACUGAGUAUAAAAAGAUGAGGUGUUAAUAAGUGUACAUUCCCACCUCUAUUUCAAACCUGAAAAUUUUGAUUAAGAAAAUAGAUAGUUUGAUACACAACACAAUAAAAAAUAUAUCAAUAAAGGCAAAAAACUGUGUUAGAUAAAAGUAUCAAAUAUAGUAUAAACUAAAUAAAAUAAUGAUGAAAAAUGAACUUAAUAGAAAAAAAUAAAUAAGUAUAUGUAUGUACAAAUGAAUAAACUCAUACAUACAGAAAAAGCUGUCAAUUAGAAACAAAAGAAAUACACCUUCAUCACCCACUAAAUUCAAAUAUCAGUAAAAAAAUAUAAAAUCAAUGCAAGUGUUAAAAUCAAUAACAAAAACAACAAUAAUAAUAAUAACAACAAUAAUGAAAAAGCACACUUGCAUGCAUCAACCACUUCCCAUGAAAAGAAGGGGAAAAAAAGCACCAAUGAAAAUAUGAACAUUAGAAAAACCCGAGAAAAGAUGCUGAACAAGAACCAACCAACAAGUGACGCCUGAAUAAAUUACACUCUAUAAGGCUACAUUGGCAACCUAUAGACACGGGCACUAUCUCUUUAGUAUAUAAUAUUAUGUAUAAUAUAUAUAUAAUUUGUAUUUUUUUAUUUAUAGGUGUGUAUAGUAUCACUUACAUACGUACAUCUAUAUAUAUAAAACUCCAGCACAGUUUGACGGCACUCCAUUAUGGCAGUUGUAUACAUAAAUAAUUAAGGGAAUGCAUGUUUAUAGAGGUCUUUUAAUUAUCCUUCUUUUUAAUCAAGGGAGAGAGUGAUAGAGAUGUGUCACCAAUUUACUGCUGUUAUUCUUAUUGUUACCAUUAUUACUUAAGUAGAGCACUGAGGUUUUGCAGUAUGGCAAUGAGAGAGAGAGAGAGAGAGAGAGAGAGAGAGAGAGAGAGAGAGAGAGAGAGAGAGAGAGAGAGAGAGAGAGAGAGAGAGAGAGAGAGAGAGAGAGAGAGAGAGAGAGAGAGAGAGAGAGAGAGAGAGAGAGAGAGAGAGAGAGAGAGAGAGAG